rnacentral:misc_RNA from 1 species
UCAAACUUGGUCAUUUAGAGGAAGUAAAAGUCGUAACAAGGUUUCCGUAGGUGAACCUGCGGAAGGAUCAUUAACAAAUUAAGGAUUACCAAUCCUUAAACCCCCAUCUGCGUACUCGUACAUGUUGCUUCCGUGGAAUGUUGAUCAUUCGAUCCGCGUUCUCUUUAAUUGAGAUCCCACGGAAGUUAUUUCCAAAUCCAUGUUAUUCAAUGCCUGUCAGAGAAAUUGGUUUAUCAUAACUGUUAAAACUUUCAACAACGGAUCUCUUGGUUCUCGCAUCGAUGAAGAACGCAGC